AGAUUAUCAGCUAAAUAAAACAAGAAGUGACUGGGGCCACUAUGCCCUGUUGGAUUGAAAUCUUGUGAGCAAAGUGGUUUUCUCUGAGAGAUUUAUUUCCUGCGCUGGCUUCAGGCAGCCAGCCCAGCCGGAAAGAACAGGGCUGGUCUCCCUCCAUUUGGGGGGGAGGAGGGACGCGGGGUUUUAUUUAAUCUUCCAAUGAGCUGGAACAGUGAAGGUGGUGUGAAUGGACAUUAAUUCUGAAACAAAUUAUUAAAGCGAGAUCUGGGAUUCCGGGAAAGCCAUCUACCCGCUGCCUGUCUGCCACUUCCCCUCACCAAGGCCAUAAAAUCCCUCCUCUCCACUCAAAACCCAACACCAAGCUAACUGGGUCUCCCAUUCAGGCUGAUGAGGGAGGCCUGGAAUUGACCUCAGCUGAGAGCCAACAGAGCAGCAGGACUGCCGGUGCCCCCAGGCCUAGGCCAUCUGCUUGCCUGGGCCUUGGCCCCCGACAGGGAUCCCCACAUUUCUUGUUCCCUCGAACUUGUUUUUGUGUUCAAGGAUGCUGUAGGCAAAGAUGGCCGCUGCCUCUGUUAUGUGGGCUCAACUUCCAUCGCCCCCACCACAGGGACCUCAGCUCUCCGUGGGCCUCUGGACUCCUAGUCCAACCCAGGCCAUCGUGGACCCUGCCUCCUGAACUAUCUGGCACCCCAUGUCCCACACCCCACUGCUGGGCCCUGCCCAGAACUCUUUAUACUAAGCUCAGUCCAGACCCUGCUCAUCUGAGGAAAAAGAGAUCUGGAAUUCAGAUUCAGAACUGUAUUACAAAGGUACUGGAAGGGCUCCCCCUGUUUGGACCACAACCUUCAAGGAGUGACUGAUGCCACCAUGAGUCCUCACCCAACUCUGCAGCAGGAUACAGUAGAAGAAACUGAGGCAGCUGGAGACCAUGUGAGAGAGGGACUCUGUGUCCAUGCUUGGAGUUUCCCAUGGUUUUCCGAGAGCAUUUUUUAUGUUACACAUUUCAUUCCAUAUGUACCAGGAAAAAAAAUAUACUCGGCCCUUCAGGUCCAACAUUUCAUGGAUUUUGAAAAUUAACAUAUAUUUUUGAAGCAAAAAAGAAUCACAAGUAGAUGGGAACAGACAGAAUGGGUCACGGACCUCGGAGGGGCUGAGACCAGCAUCCACCCUUCCUCUCCAUUUGCACACAGGCAAAGGGACACUGGGGGACAACCUGAGCCGGCUACUGGGUGUGAGUCCGUGCCAAGCCGUGUGUGGGCACUUUGGCCAGUGUGCGGUCUCUCAGCCAUUGAGGGCUGCCCCAGAGCCAUCCUCUAGACAUGACCUCUCUGGUGCCGGAGGAGAGAACUAGGCUCAGGGGGGAGCCGCGUGCCCAAGGGCUGUCUGCUGGCGAGUGAGGAGGGGAUUCUAGGACCAGUGCCUAUGUGUUCCAGGGCACAGAGGCUGGACCUACCUGCGGGGGUUUCCUGGGCCUGGAAGGCCACCCCAGAGCCUUCUGAUUAGUCCUAUACUCAUCCAGCUGCGCAGGGCUGGAAGCUCCUGAAUGUCAGGAUCUGUCCUGGUUUUGUUUUUAAUAAAGGUGGUUAUAAGAAGCUGUACA
rnacentral:lncRNA from 1 species